ensembl:ncRNA lncRNA:CR43714 long non-coding RNA:CR43714
GUCGGCCAAAAUCGAAAAUCCGUUGAUGUCGGCUCGUGUGAGAGGGCUCAAAGAGCUGGCAGCUACUUUUCACUUUGCACUAAUCGCAUCUAAUUUGACAGAUUUACAUAAGGAUUAGAUGACGGGGAGACAAAGACAAAUGCCUAGACCUUGAGGGGAGGCAAUGGGUUGUCGGGUGAUAAGACUGAUGGAAUGGCCGGGCGUAAGUACAUAUUGAUGACUUGACACUGACUGACACUGUCAAACGUCAGUCAGCCGAAAAGGGAAGGAUUAGACGGUAGGAUGGAAGGUCGAUAAGUCUGAAAUUUCGGUGAGGUAUGUAUGUUCAUAUGUACACAUAUCGACGACAGAAACAAGAAGAAUCAAACUUAGUCAAGUGGGCGUUUCGGACUGGCGUAAUUCACACUUUUGUCACGGGCAGUUGCACCCUGUAAACCUGACGAGAACAGAACCCCAACCCCAUCGAUGCGAUACCAUCCGAUUCGAGCGGAUAUUGAUGACACAAUGCUGCACAUUAAGUCAUUCAAUUCGAAAUGUUGCGCAGCUGCGACGAUUUUUAGCACCAGACUACCGGACUGGAAGCGGCAAAUCAACGACACAUCAAGCGCGAAAAAAAGGGGUUGGGUUGGGCUAAGUCCGGUGCAGAAUGGUUUGGUCUAGUACGGACGAGCACUGUAAGAAAUAAAUAGUAUACAAGAAAC